rnacentral:rRNA from 1 species
GACCGGCGGACGGGUGCGUAACGCGUAUGUAACCUACCUUUGACAGGGGGAUAACAUCGAGAAAUUGGUACUAAUACCCCAUAACAUCACCGGAGGCAUCUUCGGUGGUUGAAAACUCAGGUGGUCAGAGAUGGACAUGCGUUGUAUUAGCUAGUUGGUGAGGUAACGGCGUCACCCAAGGCGACGAUACAUAGGGGGACGUGAGAGGUCAACCCCCCACCAUUGGUACUGAGACACGGACCAAACUCCUACGGGAGGCAGCAG